ACUCCGUUGGUGAACCAGCGGAGGGAUCAUUACAGGACUCGCAAGACUCCUACAACCCUGUGAACUUAACUAUAGCACGUUGCUUCGGCGGGUGUCUCGGAGGGGGUUCUCUCUCCCCGAGACGCUAAACCCGCCGGCAGCCUACUAUACUCUGUCUCUUUGCGUUGGCAUCUCGAGUACAAUCAAACAAGUUAAAACUUUCAACAACGGAUUUCUUGGUUCUG
rnacentral:misc_RNA from 1 species